rnacentral:lncRNA from 1 species
AUGUUUACCAGAUGCCGCAGCGAAGGAGGAUUUCCAAUUUGGCUUCUGGCUCGCUGGACACCCCUGCUGAAAAGACAAGCGCCCAAGGACAUGGGUGGGAGUUUGGCGUUUGGCUGCUGCGGCACGAAAUUCGCACGGGAGAAAGAGCAAGUGCAAAACGAAGCGGUGAUCCUCCUGCACAGCCCAGCACCGCUGGGUACCUGGUUAAUCCCUGCAGUAGUGGGGGUCGGCAUUCCUCUCAGGAGGCCCUGGCGGUCCCAGUCCCUGCAGCAGCCCCUGUGGCUUUCCUCCUUGCCCCAGUGGAGUGGGAGCCACCAGGUCCAAGGCCACCCACACGUGGCUGGAGCAUCACACCUGACAUUUUGCAGGCUCCUGCAACCAGUAGGUGAGUGCUGACAAAACCUGAUGUCUUCAUGCACACUUGUACUGAGUUCAGCGCGGUGGGAUCCUGAGCUGGAGGCUUCCGAGUAUUACUACAGCUCAAAUACAGGAUAAUAACUCCUAAAAGUAAGAAUAGAAAAUAAGCUAAAUAAAAGCUUGGCUAAAACUUUUGAAAUCA